rnacentral:rRNA from 1 species
CCUACGGGAGGCAGCAGUGAGGAAUAUUGGUCAAUGGACGCAAGUCUGAACCAGCCAUGCCGCGUGCAGGAAGACGGCUCUAUGAGUUGUAAACCUCUUUUGUCGGAGAACAAAACCCGGUACGUGUCCCGGACUGCGUGUAUCCUAAGAAAAAGCAUCGGCUAACUCCGUGCCAGCAGCCGCGGUAAUAGGGGGGAUGCGAGCGGUAUCCGGUUUUGUUUGGUUUAAAGGGUGCGUAGGGGGUCCGUUAUGUCAGCGGUAAAAUUUCGGGGCUAAACCCCGUCGAGCCGUUGAAACUGGCAGACUUGAGUUGGGGAGAAGUACGCGGAAUGCGCGGUGUAGCGGUGAAAUGCAUAGAUAUCGCGAAGAACUCC